ensembl:lincRNA
GGCAGAGCACUCUCGGAAAUGUCUUAAUGCACUAAAAAUUACAUGUUCAACACCCUCUCCAUCCUGCUGGUUCAGCUCUCUGAGUGCUGGGCAUUCAUUCAGUCCUCUUCCGUUUCUGUGUACUUCAAGAGCACUUUUGAAAGAAUUCCAGUGUCUUUAUUAGUGAGAAGCUUGCAACUCUUUGCAAACCCGGGUAUUUUGUCAUGUUGGAAAAAUGUGCACAUUAAGUUUCGUCCUUGAGCCAGCCUGCUGGUAGUAAAUAAUUAAAAGGCAAUAGAUGUAGAUGUGACACGAGUGGAAUAUAUUUAGAGUCACAUCAUCAGUAAAAUUGGCAUUUCCGUGUGCAGCCAAUGACAGACAGAGCAACAUGGUAUGUGUGCUGUUGAGAUGGGCGCCCCAAACAGCCUCAUAAUUCACCUUUGUGACUCAAGCUCUGAGGAUAAUGAUAUUCUGUUUGCCAGAAAUAAGGAUCUGAAAGAUAAGAUACAAGGAGAUGCUGCAUGAGAAGACAAGAGAAACAGGAAAAAAACAAUGAGCUCAACCAUGGAAUAAGGUGGCACUGAAAAUGACACACAUAACUGAAAAUAAGAACAAUAGAGGGUUUUGUUUCUCCUUCCCCAUCUCCUGUUCACGUGGCCAGCCUGGCCGAAGCUUUCGGGAGCAAAGCCAUCGUCGUAUCGCAGCUGUGCCCUGGAGCUGUGUCCUCAGAGCCUUUUACUUGCCCUUUGCAAAAAGAAAAAGAGGGUUGAUCGGAAGGGAAAUUGAAAAGAGAGAUUGA